AUUUGUUAGGCACACGUCUUUUCUUUUUCUCCUUUUUAGUUAAGGGCAUCUCCAUCCAUGAAAAACCCACAAAGUUUCUCAAACAAAAAA
rnacentral:sRNA from 1 species